rnacentral:rRNA from 1 species
AAACUUUACAAUGCUGGAAACAGCGAUAGGGGGACCUCGAGUGCCAGGUUACAAAUCUGGCUGUCGCUGUGUCUAAAAAACACAGUAUAGCAAGGGCCGGGCAAGACCGGUGCCAGCCGCCGCGGUAACACCGGCGGCUCGAGUGGUAACCGCUAUUAUUGGGUCUAAAGGGUCUGUAGCCGGCUGAAAAAGUCUCUUGGGAAAUCUGGCAGCUCAACUGUCAGGCUGUCAGGGGAUACUCUUCAGCUCGAGACCGGGAGAGGUGAGAGGUACUUCAUGGGUAGGGGUGAAAUCUUGUAAUCCUUGAAGGACCACCAGUGGCGAAGGCGUCUCACCAGAACGGAUCUGACGGCAAGGGACGAAAGCUAGGGGCACGAACCGG